rnacentral:lncRNA from 1 species
GACGUGAUUUACUUAGAUCAAUCAAACGUGUGUGGUGCGGGCCUCACUUCCAGGUGGAAGCAAUAAAAGUAGGUCUGCCCUCCCCAAAGUAGGGUCUUGUCUUUCUCUCUGCCUCAACGAUUGGUGACGCUUUGGUUAGCUCGUCUGUUAGCCUCGGUUCUGGAGUGAGGAUGACACGGAACAGAGCACCCAGUCUACCCACAUGGACAGGAAGUGUGAGCAAAAAAUGAUGUUUUCAAAGUGUGAUUAUCUACCCACUAUUUUGAUUUGUCUUUGUGGAGGAGGUGAGUACCAAAUGCCUCUGGUCAGCCGUCUUGACGUUCUUCCCUAGCUAAAUGUUACAGUUCUGUAUUUGAACAGAUGUAGUGAAAUCCGUUUUUGUUACUGCAACAUUUCAAUAAUGAUAUUUUUCCCUUUUAAAAUUACUUGUAUUUUUCCCCUG